GUACCCUCUGUUGAUCUGCUUGUGAAGUCUUCUGCGGACAGCCUCAAAACUUCUGAUUUCAUUAUCAUUGGCACAACUCUGGCCCACAUGUUGACAACCAAGCCAAUAACAGACCUCAAAGGCAAUCAAUACCUGCACCAAGAGAGCAAAUAAUACACCUGCCUAAUCAGAAAGAACGGCUGAGAACCCAACUGUACAAUUACUUUUGGUCUUGUAAAAUUUGGGAACUGUAUAAAAAGGGAUGUAAUUCUUAUGCGGAUCACCCGAUAUGGAUGUAAAUAUCAUCAAAUGAAAAGUUACCGUCUUCAUUUUAACCUCAUAUGCAUUGUUCAAAUAAUUUCAUAUCUGGAGAGCACAGAAAAAUAGAAAUUUUACCACUUUCCAAAUACUGCACUGUAUAAUACAUAUACUAAAUGCCAGAUUAUUACAAAAUGGGACACAUGCAUAUCUUCACUCUCUACAAAUAAAUGAGUUGCAUUGUGGUAUAGCCCAGACAAUAACAUAUAUUGUAAGGGCUGCUAGGUGGCUCAUCCUGCUCCAGUGCAUGGAUGGUCUCCUCUGCUAUAGAAUCCAGACAGUGCCAUUGCAGACUGUGGCCAGCAGCCAGGUGAGGGGAGGGGGGUUACAGCUGACUGCUCUGACAUUCAAAGUAAUACUGUGUUAGAAAAGAUAAACCAGUAUGAAGACCAGAUACCUGUCUUUGGGAGAAAAGCAAGCCAUUUUAAAACUUAGAAAAGAGUCUAGUCAAGCAUUGGGGAUAGCUUGUACAACAACUUGGAAUGUCCUGAAAAAGAAAGAAACCGCUGGCAUACUGACCAACAGACAUCAAACAGGUCGACCAAAGAAAACAACAGCAGUUAAUGGCAGAAACAUUGUGAGAGCUGUGCAGCUCCACAGGGCAGGACAGUUGUAAGUCAGAAGGGAAAAUUACAAUUGGCAAAGAAGUACAGAGAUGAGCCACAAACGUUCUGGUACAAAGUUUUAUGGACAGAUGAGACCAAGAUUAACCACUACCAAAGUGAUGGAAAGGCCAAAGAAAGUGGAGAAAGAAGAGAUCUGCUCUUGAUCUAAAACAUUCAAGCUCAUCUGUGAAGCACAGUGGAGGACGUGUUAUGGCUUGGGCUUGCAUGGCUGCUUCUGGAGUGGGCUCAUUAAUCUUUAUUGAUGUUGGUAGCAGCAGGAUGAAUUCAGAAGUUUACAAAAACAUUCUGUCUGCCAACUCACGAUGGUAGCAGCAUGAUGAAUUCAGAAGUUUACAAAAACAUUCUGUCUGCCGGAGAACUUACGGAGAAAUACGUUCAAACUAAUUUGGAGGAACUUCGUCAUGCAGCAAGACAAUGACCCAAAGCACACUGCUAACACAACAAAGAACUUAAUUAGGGAGAAAAAAUUGGAAGGUUUUGGACUGCCCAAGUCAAUCACCAGACCUUAACCCAAUUGAGCAUGCAUUUCACCUCCUGAAGAGGAGAUUUGAGGGAAAAACCCCCAAACAAACAACUGAAAGAGGCUGCAGUAUAAGCCUGGAAAAGCAUCACAAAAGAAGAAUGCAACAGUUUGGUGAUGUCAAUGGGUCGCAGGCUUGAUGUAUUUAUUGCAAGAAAGGGAUAUGCUAUUAAACUUUCAUUAUUUACUUUCAUUUA